UAGGGAAUAUUGGACAAUGGGUGAGAGCCUGAUCCAGCCAUGCCGCGUGCAGGAAGAAGGCGUUAUGCGUUGUAAACUGCUUUUGCCAGGGGAUAAAAAGACUCUGCGGAGUUUAUUGAAGGUACCUGGUGAAUAAGCCACGGCUAACUACGUGCCAGCAGCCGCGGUAAUACGUAGGUGGCAAGCGUUGUCCGGAUUUAUUGGGUUUAAAGGGUGCGUAGGUGGCCCUGUAAGUCAGUGGUGAAAUAUCUCAGCUUAACUGAGAGGGUGCCAUUGAUACUGCAGGGCUUGAGUACAGAUGAGGUAGGCGGAAUUGACGGUGUAGCGGUGAAAUGCAUAGAUAUCGUCAAGAACACCGAUAGCGAAGGCAGCUUACCAAGCUGUAACUGACACUGAGGCACGAAAGUGUGGGGAUCAAACAGGAUUAGAUACCCCAGUAGUCCCUGAGCGGGCUGGCAAGGCGCAU
rnacentral:rRNA from 1 species